GGGGAUUUCGCCAAUGGGCGCAAGCCUGAUGCAGCGACGCCGCGUGAGGGAUGACGGCCUUCGGGUUGUAAACCUCUUUCACCAGGGACGAAGAGUGAUUGACGGUACCUAGGAGAAGAAGCACCGGCCAACUACGUGCCAGCAGCCGGAGGUAAUA
rnacentral:rRNA from 1 species